AUUGAACGCUGGCGGAAUGCUUUACACAUGCAAGUCGAACGGCAGCACGGACUUCGGUCUGGUGGCGAGUGGCGAACGGGUGAGUAACAUAUCGGAACGUAUCCAAUAAUGGGGGAUAACGAGUCGAAAGAUUCGCUAAUACCGCAUACGCCCUACGGGGGAAAGCUGGGGACCUUCGGGCCUGGCGUUAAUGGAGCGGCCGAUAUCUGAUUAGCUAGUUGGUGAGGUAAAGGCCCACCAAGGCGACGAUCCGUAGCUGGUCUGAGAGGAUGAUCAGCCAAACUGGAACGGAGACACGGUCCAGACUCCUACGGGAGGCAGCAGUGGGGAAUAUUGGACAAUGGGCGCAAGCCUGAUCCAGCCAUGCCGCGUGUGUGAAGAAGGCCUUCGGGUUGUAAAGCACUUUUGUCCGGAAAGAAAAGCUUCCGAUUAAUACUCGGGAGUCAUGACGGUACCGGAAGAAUAAGCACCGGCUAACUUCGUGCCAGCAGCCGCGGUAA
rnacentral:rRNA from 1 species